UACGUAGGGGGCAAGCGUUGUCCGGAUUUACUGGGCGUAAAGAGCGCGCAGGCGGUCGAUCAAGUCGAGUGUGAAAGCCCCCGGCUCAACUGGGGAGGGUCAUUCGAUACUGAUCGACUCGAAGGCAGGAGAGGGUAGUGGAAUUCCCGGUGUAGUGGUGAAAUGCGUAGAUAUCAGAAGGAACAUCAGUGGCGAAGGCGGCUUCCUGGACCAAUACUGACGAUCAGGUGCGAAAGCGUGGGGAGCAAACAGG
rnacentral:rRNA from 1 species